rnacentral:rRNA from 1 species
GAGUCUAGCCUGCCCAUUGAAUAAUUUUAAAAGGCCGCGGUAUAUUAACUGUGCAAAGGUAGCAUAAUCAUUAGUUUUUUAAUUGAAGGCUUGUAUGAAGGGUUGGACAAAGAAUAAUCUGUUUCUAUUUUUGUUUUUGAAUUUGACUUUUAAGUUAAAAGGCUUAAUUGAAUUUAAGGGACGAUAAGACCCUAUAAAUCUUUAUAUUAAAUUAUUUUUAGUUAAUUAAUAAUGUAAUUUUAACAGUAAAAUAAAAUAUAUUGUGUUGGGGUGAUGAGAAUAUAAAAUUAACUGUUCUAAAUUGAAAACAAAUUUAUUUGAAUUAAUAAUAGAUCCUUAAUAGAGAUUAAAAGUUUAAGUUACUUUAGGGAUAACAGCGUUAUUUUUUUUUGAGAGUUCAUAUCGAAAAAAAAGUUUGCGACCUCGAUGUUGAAUUAAAAGUUCUUUGUGGUGUAGGUGCUACAAAAGAAAGUCUGUUCGACUUUU